AAUGAGGUAAGCACCAUUAUACCAACAACGUCGGAAAGGAUUGGUAGAAAAAUUAAAUAUGGCAACAACUAAUAAUAACGCUCUAAAUUUACGUGACUCUAUUGAUAAUGAAGACUUAUGGGAAAUUGGCUCAACGGACAUGAGUUCGAUGGACGAUACCUCGAGUGAUUCUCUUGACCAAGAUGUUAUAGAAAACUGUUUGAAAUAUGAUCCAUAUAUAAAAAGACUUUACGCAGAGAUGCGAAAUAUAGGUGCUGGAGGAUUUGGGGCAGUUUAUGAAGCAAGACACAGACUGGACAAAACAAAAUGUGCACUUAAAAUUGUUUUGAUUGAUCAAAAAAAAUUUGAAACACGUGAAGUGGAAACUUUAGCUCUACUGGACCAUGUGAAUGUUCUCAGAUAUCAUGAAUCAUGGGUAACUGAUCUCCCUAAACCUAUCUCUUAUACUAAGGCAUUUGAGGGGGAUGAGGAGGAGGAGGAGGAGGAGGAAGAUUCUGAUAAUUUUGUUUGUUUUGAAAAAGAAGAAGAAGAUUCUUCAAGCAAAAAUAAUAAUGCCAUAGGUGGUUAUAGUAAGUCUACAUCUACAAGUAGUAAAGGUUUGGAGGAAAAAUAUGAUGCCUGCUUGGUUAUCAAAACUGAACUCUGCAACCCAGGGAAAACCCUUAAAACACUAAUUGAAUGUGGAGAAAUAUUUAAGAUGGAUGGUCGAGACAGGCAGAAGCUGUUUUUGGAUAUUGUAUUUGGUCUACAGUACAUACAUGACAACGGCUUCAUGCAUCGAGAUCUAAAACCUCCGAAUAUUUUCAUUAGCAAAGAGAAUCGAGCCAAGAUAGGGGAUUUUGGAUUUGCCAGAAAAUACAUAAUGUCUGAUGCAAAUGGAGCUUCUCCAACAUCUGAAAAGGACAGAGUUUGUUUCUCCAAAAAUUUAGGGACAUCUUAUUACAUUGCACCAGAAGUUGAGAACUCGACUGUUUAUGACAGAAAAGCGGACUUUUACAGUCUUGGAAUGAUACUCUUCGAGAUGUAUUAUAAGAUGGGUUCUGCAAUGGAAAGAGAUAAAACAAUGAAUAAACUAAGAGAGCAGGACUUCAGUGAUUUGAAGAAUAUUUCCUGGAAUAUUCAGAGUGUUAUUCAAAGCCUUUUAAGUCAUGAGCCCUCCUCAAGAAUGGAAUUGGAAAUGGUUAUUGACAAGAUCAUGCAACCGUUGGAGCAUCAGCAAAGUGUUGAGAAGACCAAGGUUGGAGCACAACAGGUGAAUUCUCCAGACAUGGAAUACCCAGGACCUGCCAGGAAACUUUCCUUCCAACGACAAAUAAGUGGUAAUUUAAACUUUUUUCUAAUAAAUCAAAGAAAAAUAACUCUAUCUUUCUUGUAUCGAAAUUAAGUUUCUUAUAGGGAAAAGCGUAAUGGGAAACAGUUGUUAAAAAUAAUGGAAGCUGCAUUUCCAAAGAAAUCAAGCAUGCAUAUUCUUUAAUAAGUAAUGGUUUUACAUGUUCAUCAUCAUGUACAUGUACAUGUAUGUCAUUUUUUCUCUUGUAGAACCAUCUCCUGGUGCUACUAGUGAAAAACACCAACCAGUUCAGGCUACUGCAGAGGAAUUGCCCAAAUUGACCCAUAGCUUAAAAAUCCGUGUCAACAAAAACAUCCAAUUUGACCGUGAGGAAGACGAUUAAGCUGAUAAUGUCAUGAUGAACUGAUUUUGGGACUGAGUGAGUCUAUGUUGAAUGAAUAUGCUAAGUUUCUUCAUUACAUAUGUAUAUUAGACCAUGUUUUAAAAUAAUAUUUAAUUGCCCGUCUG
rnacentral:misc_RNA from 1 species